rnacentral:rRNA from 1 species
GCAGGCUGCAACUCGCCUGCAUGAAGUUGGAAUUGCUAGUAAUCGCGGAUCAGCAUGCCGCGGUGAAUACGUUCCCGGGCCUUGUACACACCGCCCGUCACACCAUGGGAGCCGGUAAUACCCGAAGUCAGUAGCCUAACCGCAAGGGGGGCGCUGCCGAAGGUAGGAUUGGCGACUGGGGUGAAGUCGUAACAAGGUAGC